rnacentral:rRNA from 1 species
UCAGACGAUGCGUCAUGCAUAUCAAUAAGCGGAGGAAAAGAAAUUAACAAAGAUUACCUUAGUAAUGGCGAAUGAACAGGUAAAAGCCCACAGUUGGAAUCCUCUGUCAAAAAGAGGAGUUGUAAACUGUAGUCUCAAUUUCAAAAAGUUCUUUUGGGGAAAUUACUUGGAAAAGUGAUGACACAGAGGGUGAAAUCCCCGUGCCCUAAAGAGAAUGUAAGCGAAAUGAAGACUUAGAGUCGAGCUUCUUGGGAUUGAAGUUCUAAUCAGGAGAUAAACUUCUUCUAAGGCUAAAUAUUGACUGAGAAUCCGAUAGCGAACAAGUACCUGUGAAGGGAAAGAUGAAAAGAACUUUGAAAAGAGAGUUAAACAGUACGUGAAAUUGUCAAAAGGGAAGCGUUUGACACCAGUGUUGUUUUCUACGAAAAUCAAUUAAAAAUGAGUCUCGAUUUUGUAUUGCUUGUAUGACCUUAAAAGCUGCACUGUACAAUUUUCUUGUCUUUUUUAAUGCACUUUUCGUUUAACAAGUCAACAUCAGUUUCUUUUGUUGUAAAAGGGUCAUUGGAAGGUGGCUUUCUUUUCGGAGAAAGUGUUUAUAGCCUUUGCCUCCUGCAAUCGGAGAGACUGAGGUCUGCAGCGUAGACUCUUCGGGGUUAGAUACAUUUGUGCUAAGUUAUAGCUUUUUAUAGACAACUUGUUGACUAUGAUUAGUCUUGUAGCUUACUCGCUUAUGCUAUUUUACCUACGCUUAGGAUGUUGAAGAUGUAGCACAUCAU